rnacentral:misc_RNA from 1 species
UUAAGUUCAGCGGGUAUUCCUACCUGAUCCGAGGUCAACCUUAAAAAGUGGUGUGUUUUACGGCAAGCGCCCGCCGCCGCGCCCAGAGCGAAGAAAUGCUACUGCGCUCGGUGUGACAGCGAGCCCGCCACUGGUUUUAGGGGCCUGCGGCAGCCGCAGGGCCCCAACGCAAGCCCGGGGGCUUGAUGGUUGAAAUGACG